rnacentral:rRNA from 1 species
UACGUAGGUGGCGAGCGUUGUCCGGAUUUACUGGGCGUAAAGGGAGCGUAGGCGGACUUUUAAGUGAGAUGUGAAAUACCCGGGCUCAACUUGGGUGCUGCAUUUCAAACUGGAAGUCUAGAGUGCAGGAGAGGAGAAUGGAAUUCCUAGUGUAGCGGUGAAAUGCGUAGAUAUUAGGAGGAACACCAGUAGCGAAGGCGGCUCUCUGGACUGUAACUGACGCUGAGGCACGAAAGCGUGGGGAGCAAACAGGAUUAGAUACCCGCGUA